rnacentral:rRNA from 1 species
GGAAACUACUGCUAACACCCAAUGAGCCGAGAGGUAAAAAAUUUAUUGCCUGAAGAGGAGCUCGCGUCCGAUUAGUUAGUUGGUGGGGUAAAAGCCUACCAAGACGGCGAUCGGUAGCUGGUCUGAGAGGAUGAGCAGCCACACUGGGACUGAGACACGGCCCAGACUCCUACGGGAGGCAGCAGUGGGGAAUUUUCCGCAAUGGGCGCAAGCCUGACGGAGCAAUACCGCGUGAGGGAGGAAGGCCUUUGGGUUGUAAACCUCUUUUCUUAAGGAAGAAGAUCUGACGGUACUUAAGGAAUCAGCAUCGGCUAACUCCGUGCCAGCAGCCGCGGUAAUACGGAGGAUGCAAGCGUUAUCCGGAAUUAUUGGGCGUAAAGCGUCCGCAGGCGGCAUUAUAAGUCUGCUGUCAAAGACCGCAGCUCAACUGCGGAAAGGCAGUGGAAACUGUAGAGCUAGAGUACGGUAGGGGUAGAGGGAACUCCCAGUGUAGCGGUGAAAUGCGUAGAUAUUGGGAAGAACACCAGUGGCGAAAGCGCUCUACUGGGCCGUAACUGACGCUCAGGGACGAAAGCU